UGGGGGAUAUUGCACAAUGGGCGAAAGCCUGAUGCAGCGACGCCGCGUGGGGGAUGAAGGCCUUCGGGUUGUAAACCUCUUUUGCUCUGAACAAGGCAUGCCUUUGGGGUGUGUUGAGUGUAGGGGUUGAUUAGCGCCGGCUAACUACGUGCCAGCAGCCGCGGUAAUACGUAGGGCGCGAGCGUUGUCCGGAAUUAUUGGGCGUAAAGGGCUUGUAGGUGGCUGGUUGCGUCUGUCGUGAAAGCUCAUGGCUUAACUGUGGGUUUGCGGUGGGGACGGGCUGGCUUGAGUGCAGUAGGGGAGGCUGGAAUUCCUGGUGUAGCGGUGGAAUGCGCAGAUAUCAGGAGGAAUACCGGUGGCGAAGGCGGGUCUCUGGGCUGUUACUGACGCUGAGGGGCGAAAGCGUGGGGAGCGAACAGG
rnacentral:rRNA from 1 species